AUCGAGAGACUGUGCCUCCACCGCCAUCGCCGUCUCUUCGACGACGCCGGGCGAUCGGCCCCUACACCAAAGCCAUCCAGCAUUGGAAGACGUCAUCGAGGGCCACUCCUGCGGACACAGUCAUUACAUUCGUAAAGCUUGCGAGGCCAACAUUGGAGGCUGCUCGAUCGGUUCACUUGCAAACAAUGCCAUCUUAUCUGAGAAGAUCCAGGAACAUUCUUGUCCCAUCAAUUCAAGUCAACACUAGCUAAAAUUUUCCCACCAAUUUGAACAGCUACGCAAAUCUCUUAACUUCUUCUUCUUUCCAUCAACAGUGUAUUUAUUUAUGGUUUUGUUUCAUGCAAAUUGGCACCCAGCUCCAAUUCUCAUUUCACAGAACAUUUAGGAAAUAAUUCCUAAAUGUUGGUUAAGAUACAUGAUGAAAUCUUUGUGUGCCAAAUACACCGUACUAUUGCUUUUUUUUUUUUUUGUUGCAAAAACAGAGCCUGAUGUAGAGUAUGGUUUUUUUAUGUGGUAUGGCAAUGAUUUUGUAUUGUGCAAUUACUGGAGAAUGAAUUCUCUCUCUUCAUGUCUAUCUAUCUAUCUAUCUAUCUAUCUAUCUAUCUAUCAGUAGGUUUAUAUAUUAUUGUUAAACACACAUUCUGUCACGGAACAAGAGAUCCUUCGAUCAUAAAACAAAAGCACUGCUGAUAGCAAUAUUAUUUCGUUGCAUUGGCUACACACAACUCUCGAUUACCUUUAACAGAAGAUUACAAUGAUUUCAUAGUUUGCCACAAUCGAAGUCAGCCAUACUCAUAUACUUCUUUGUCAAUGCACCAGCCAAAACUUGGUCUCUCAGGAGACGGGCGGCCCAGCUGCCGCCUUGUUGGACGAUCCCUACCACAUAACCAGUGGCGACAAGCUCAAAGCCCCUCCAUCUCCUGGCGUCGGCAUACUUCUUCAGUGCUGCCUCGACCCUGCUGCCUUCGUCUUCUUCUCCGCCUCCCUCCCGUCCGCCGAUGAGAGCUUCGCCUAAGCACUUGGCCAGAACAACUCCGUCUUCCAGCGCCGAGCAGCCGCCUUGGCCGAGGUCGGGAGUCAUGGGAUGGAACGCGUCCCCGGUCACGCAGACGUUCCCUCUGCUGAUGUCACCCCACAGCAGGUUGAACGGGGAUCUGUAUCUCAAGUGAGCGGACGCUAGGCUGCUCAGCUCGCUCCUCCCUAUUACCUGUAAGACCUCUUGAGGAACCUUUUCGCUCUUCAGCUUGCUCAGUACAAAUUCCUUCACCUUAAUAACAUCUUUGUUCCA